AAUGAACGCUGGCGGCAUGCCUAACACAUGCAAGUCGAACGAAGGCUUCGGCCUUAGUGGCGCACGGGUGCGUAACGCGUGGGAAUCUGCCUCAGGUUCGGAAUAACAGCGAGAAAUUGCUGCUAAUACCGGAUGAUAUCGCGAGAUCAAAGAUUUAUCGCCUGAGGAUGAGCCCGCGUAGGAUUAGCUAGUUGGUGUGGUAAAGGCGCACAAAGGCGACGAUCCUUAGCUGGUCUGAGAGGAUGAUCAGCCACACUGGGACUGAGACACGGCACAGACUCCUACGGGAGGCAGCAGUGGGGAAUAUUGGACAAUGGGCGAAAGCCUGAUCCAGCAAUGCCGCGUGAGUGAUGAAGGCCUUAGGGUUGUAAAGCUCUUUUACCCGGGAUGAUAAUGACAGUACCGGGAGAAUAAGCUCCGGCUAACUCCGUGCCAGCCGCCGCGGUAA
rnacentral:rRNA from 1 species